rnacentral:lncRNA from 1 species
AUAAAUUCAAUAAUUGGUAAUUUUAAUUAUUUGACUCAAUAUAUUACAAUCAAAUCAAAAUUCAUAUAGUCUGUUACCAAUAUUAUAAACUAGGAUCUUAAUAAAAAUAUACACGUUAAUAUAUGGGCCUUAAGCCCAAAGUAAUCCUUAUUUUCUCUCCAUAAAACUAAAACUAAUCUUUAAUUAAGUUUCUUUUUCCGAUCUCGAGAACAGAAAAAAAACAGCAAACAAAUCAUCGUCUCCAAGAUCGUUGCGUUUCCCGCUCAAACUUCCGAAGCUCUCGUGACAUCAUCAAUGGCACUCUUCUAUAACCUGCAAGAAAAUCAGAUAGUGGUACCAGAAGGUAAGUGUAAUUAAUGAACUUCAGAUUUCAUAACAGUUGAUAGUUCAUGAAAUCAAGAAUCGGGAUUGUAGAUACACCAGAAUUUGCUUGCGUUUUAAGGUAUCUAUUCAUUUUAAUACUCAUGAAGACAUAGAUCAUGAGAUCGAUUGCUUCUUGAUAGGAUUAGUAAGUUAGAAGAACACAAGCCACUAAACAAUCAAGAAACUAUGUAUAUCAUGAACAAUUGAUGUAUCCUUAGAACAUAAAAACGACUAUACACAAAUCAACAACACCAUUCAACGUGUGAGUUUGCUUAUAGCUUGAAUUUUAAUGAUUUGGUACAAUUAUCUUGUAUUCUCUAUUGCAGAUGUCCAGCUAUUGAUCAAUAUCUCCGUAGAGAGAUAGAUUCCUCACAGGACCAGAGAUGGAAGUUAUGUUUGCACAUAGGAACCUAUUCCCUGUUUCAGCGGUCACACCAGCUGAGACAACUGGUCUUUUCAGAAUACAGAGCGUAUAUUUUAUUGAUGAAAACGUGUGGGACUUGGCUCCACAUGGGAAUGGAGUCGUAGUCGGUGGGGUUUUGGUAAGUUAAUGGAACCUCUCAUCAGAUUUGGUUCAAUGUUUUGCUAAGUUAAUGGAACAUUUUGUUUCCAAAAUGCAGCAAGGAAACAACAUCCGGCUUAACUUCACAUUUGCUACCAGUGCUCAGCUAUCUAGACGAACCAUACGAAAUAGACACGAGUAAGUUUUUGUUUUUUUCGUGAUCAGAUUUGUAUCAACUUAACAGGGCCCCUAAUGGUGUUUUCCCUUUUCUAUUUCAGGUUCAAUGCCGACACCUUUGUCCACUACUUCUGAAGCGACAACUUUAUAAUCUGUUGUCCAAUUGAACUAUAGAAUUUAGAUUGGCAAGGUUUUGUUUUCUAUUAACUCUGCAUGUGAAACUAUUGGUGUUAUAGCACUCGCAAUUAGGUCACAGUUCUUAGCAUAUCAGUAAAACAUCUUGAAACUAAUCUAAGCCAACGGAAACCCUUUCAGUGGAAUAAGUUAAAUUAAGGCUAUAUCAACUAUUGUGAGAAAGUCAAGGUACUGUAGGUCUCACAUCGUAGGGCUGGAAGAACGCAGCAUAGGCUGAAUAGAGCACAUAGGUUCAAAUCAAACUAUAAAUAAAGUCAAGAGCAAUUGCUACAGCGGGAUACAUUACCUCAUUUAAAACCGCCAUGGCGAGAUGUAGCCAUCUUCUGCCUGCAUUCUAAAUCAUGCUUUAGGUCUCCAACUGCGCAGGCAAUAUAAAGGUCAGCUACAUGUUCGUUUGAUGUCAAUUGACUAGAUACAGGAAAAUUCUCCGAAUAUACAGUGAUUACACAUCAACCAUAGAGAACGGUAUGAAGUAAAUAUACCCUCUAUCCAGUGCAUAUGUAGCUUGUGGGAGUGCUCUGUUGGUUUCGCUUUCCUCUGAUGUUGUAUCACCUCCAUUGUCAAAUACGACCGCGACACGGUUCCCACUCAUCUCAUAGAUAGCUAGAUAAUGGUCUGCAGGAAUAUAAAAUAAUUGUUAAAGACAAAAGAUAGGGCAUCUACUAUCCUAUGUGCAUAGUAUUUAGCAUGUCAUGGAAGUUAACUAGGUCUUAGAGGGUUCUAACGCCAUGAAGAGCAAAAGAAAGAGAGUAAAUAGGUAAGAGAAAGACAAAACAAACUAAAAACCACAAGACAUUUGACCUAUCGUUUCUCUUUCACAGGACGAGUAAGCAGCUGACCUGCCAGGAAUAACAGUAAAUACACUCUUUUGACCAUCAGAUGUAAAAGUCUUGCCCAUCCAUUCACAACCCAUUAUCCAUUCACAAGGCAACAUAGGAAGAAAUUUAAAUUUCGAUGAGCUAGCUAGAGCAAUUUUUUCUAGCGCAGAUCACAAACAACCAACUCGAACCUCUGGUUAUAUUAUCCAAGAUUUUUACAGGAUGGUGCCUGAGGCUGCCAGGUUUCGAAGGAAUAAAGAGUUUUGGUGUAGCAAGAAAAAUUACGUAUUCUAUAAAGCUCAUUUGAAAAGUAUGGAAUCUAAGUGCAUUCAAAAAAACCUUGAGCUAGAAAUCCCUACCCUCUUUAGGCGUUCCAAUCUAAUUGGAAGUUCAAGAACAAUCAGUACAGACUAAAUUUUCUCAAUCUGAGUUAACGCAAUUAUACCUUUUCGAACACCUCGAGUUUUGGCACAGUUUUCUUGAUAGCUUCCUCAAAAACCUCGGCACAAGCCUCAUCAUCAUCAACUCCCAUCUGUUUUCGCUUCAGAAUUCUUCCUCAGCUUGCUUCCGCUUCUACGUUCUCAACAUCGGAUUCAUUGUAUUCAUCAGAAAAUCCUGAUCCACAAUCGACAAAUAUUGAUUUGACCCACAAUUGACAACAACAACAACAACAACAAAAAAAAAAAGGGGGAACUUGUAAAUCUGAUUUGAUCUAAGAAGUAAGAAGACGAUAGCAACUGUACCUUGCCGGCCGGAGGUACAAACCGGCUCCGCCAUUCUCAGACCCGUGAACCGAUCUAAAACGAUUCCACCAGACCACCGCGUCCCGACCCCGUUCGGACCUGUCGGGUCCCGGCCUCCCAUGUAUCUCUGUAUCUCUAUUAGAGCAUAAGCUCUACCGCAGCAGAAUGAGAUUCUCGA